rnacentral:rRNA from 1 species
UACGUAGGGGGCAAGCGUUGUCCGGAUUUACUGGGCGUAAAGAGCGCGUAGGCGGAAGCUUAAGUGUGGCCUGAAAGCCCCCGGCUCAACCGGGGAAGGUGGCUGCAAACUGGGCUUCUUGAGGGCGAUAGAGGAGAGCGGAAUUCCUGGUGUAGCGGUGAAAUGCGUAGAUAUCAGGAGGAACACCGGUGGCGAAGGCGGGUCUCUGGGCCGAUACUGACGCUGAGGAGCGAAAGCGUGGGGAGCGAACAGG